rnacentral:rRNA from 1 species
UACGGAGGGAGCUAGCGUUGUUCGGAAAUACUGGGCGUAAAGCGCACGUAGGCGGCGCAGCAAGUCAGGGGUGAAAUCCCGGGGCUCAACCUCGGAACUGCCCUUGAAACUGCAGUGCUAGAAUCUUGGAGAGGCGAGUGGAAUUCCGAGUGUAGAGGUGAAAUUCGUAGAUAUUCGGAAGAACACCAGUGGCGAAGGCGACUCGCUGGACAAGUAUUGACGCUGAGGUGCGAAAGCGUGGGGGAGCAAACAGG